GACGAACGCUGGCGGCGUGCUUAACACAUGCAAGUCGAACGGAAAGGCCCUGCUUGCAGGGUACUCGAGUGGCGAACGGGUGAGUAACACGUGGGUGAUCUGCCCUGCACUUCGGGAUAAGCCUGUGAAACUGGGUCUAAUACCGGAUAGGAGCCAUUUUUAGUGUGAUGGUUGGAAAGUUUUUUCGGUGUUGGAUGAGCUCGCUGCCUAUCAGCUUGUUGGUGGGGUAAUGGCCUACCAAGGCGGCUACGGGUAGCCGGCCUGAGAGGGUGGACGGCCACAAUGGGACUGAGAUACGGCCCAGAAUGCUACGGGAGGCAGCAGUGGGGAAUAUUGCACAAUGGGCGCAAGCCUGAUGCAGAGACGCCGCGUGGGGGAUGACGGCCUUCGGGUUGUAAACAACUUUCGCUAGGGACGAAGCUUUUUGUGACGGUACUAAGAUAAGAAGCACCGGCUACUACGUG
rnacentral:rRNA from 1 species